rnacentral:rRNA from 1 species
ANGCAGUCGNCGANNACUGGAGCUUGCUCCAGGGNUUAGUGGCGAACGGGUGAGUAACACGUGAGUAACCUGCCCUUGACUCUGGGAUAAGCGCUAGAAAUGGCGUCUAAUACCGGAUACGAGCUUCAGCCGCAUGGCUAGGAGUUGGAAAGAAUUUUGGUCAAGGAUGGACUCGCGGCCUAUCAGCUAGUUGGUGAGGUAAUGGCUCACCAAGGCGACGACGGGUAGCCGGCCUGAGAGGGUGACCGGCCACACUGGGACUGAGACACGGCCCAGACUCCUACGGGAGGCAGCAGUGGGGAAUAUUGCACAAUGGGCGAAAGCCUGAUGCAGCAACGCCGCGUGAGGGAUGACGGCCUUCGGGUUGUAAACCUCUUUUAGUAGGGAAGAAGCGAAAGUGACGGUACCUGCAGAAAAAGCACCGGCUAACUACGUGCCAGCAGCCGCGGUAAUACGUAGGGUGCAAGCGUUGUCCGGAAUUAUUGGGCGUAAAGAGCUCGUAGGCGGUUUGUCGCGUCUGCUGUGAAAUCUGGGGGCUCAACCCCCAGCCUGCAGUGGGUACGGGCAGACUAGAGUGCGGUAGGGGAGAUUGGAAUUCCUGGUGUAGCGGUGGAAUGCGCAGAUAUCAGGAGGAACACCGAUGGCGAAGGCAGAUCUCUGGGCCGUAACUGACGCUGAGGAGCGAAAGCAUGGGGAGCGAACAGGAUUAGAUACCCUGGUAGUCCAUGCCGUANACGUUGGGAACUAGAUGUGGGGGCCAUUCCACGGUCUCCGUGUCGCAGCUAACGCANUANNNNCCNCGCCUGGGGAGUACGGCCGCNNGGCUAANNCUCAGNGGANNUGACGGNNGCCCNCNCNNNAUNNCGGAGCAAGCGGNNNAAUUCGAUGCAACGC